rnacentral:lncRNA from 1 species
GUUUUCAUGAUUUAUAUAAUUUCUUUUAAAUAGUCAAGGUCAUUGAGUCUGGACCUGAACCUCAUGUGUAGUUACUCUUAUGUAAUACCCAGCUUGGCAAGUCUUAAGUUAUUUUUUUCUCAAUUAUAAGGUGCCAGGAUCAAAGUUUAGAAGGGGAAGAGUCUUCAGGGGCCAAUUUACAAAUGAGGAAACUGAGACAGAGCUUAACUUUCCUAAGAUUAUACAGCUAUGCAGAAUCUGGAGCCAAGAUGCAGGCUUAGUAGCACCAUAAAUUGAAAUAUCUUUGAGAUUCCUUCCAAAUCAACCUUUAAAAAGUGUUUCAUAAUGACAGGAGUCAAAAACCAAGAAGAUGGAGAGAGGGGGCUCUUCUGCAGAAAACAGUUUGAAAGGGCAGAGCAAAGAUGGUGGAGUAGAGCUGAGAAGAUCAGUCACCAUGAGAAUCUUCUCCAACCAAUUUUAAAAUAAUGCCAUGAAAUUAAUAAAGGAGUGAAAGACCCAACA